UACGGAGGGUGCGAGCGUUGUCCGGAAUCAUUGGGCGUAAAGGGCGCGUAGGUGGCCCGGUCAGUUCGUGGUGAAAGCGCGGGGCUCAACCCUGCGUCGGCCAUGAAUACUGCCGCGGCUGGAGCACUGUAGAGGCAGGCGGAAUUCCGGGUGUAGCGGUGGAAUGCGUAGAGAUCCGGAAGAACACCGGUGGCGAAGGCGGCCUGCUGGGCAGUUGCUGACACUGGGGCGCGACAGCGUGGGGAGCAAACAGG
rnacentral:rRNA from 1 species